rnacentral:misc_RNA from 1 species
GGAAGGAUCAUUAAAGUGUUUCCGCUGUGGUGCGCCGGGCUCCAAGCCCGGAGUGCGCCACGCGAAACUCCACCCUUGACUAUUAUACCACUUGUUGCUUUGGCGGGCCCGCCGCAAGGCCGCCGGGAGCAUUAGCCCCUGGCCCGCGCCCGCCGAAGACAAUUUUGAACCCGAUUGUGAAAUUGACUGUCUGAGUUUAUGAUUAAAUCAUUAAAACUUUCAACAAUGGAUCUCUUGGUUCCGGCAUCGAUGAAGAACGCAGCGAAAUGCGAUAAGUAAUGUGAAUUGCAGAAUUCCGUGAAUCAUCGAAUCUUUGAACGCACAUUGCGCCCUCUGGUAUUCCGGAGGGCAUGCCUGUCCGAGCGUCAUUACAACCUUCAAGCACGGCUUGUGUGUUGGACUUUGUUUUUCUAAAACAAAAACAGGCCCGAAAGGCAGUGGCGGCGCCCGAUCCGGUGCCCGAGCGUAUGGGAACUCUCUCCGCUCAAUGUGGCCCGGCCGGCGCUGGUCGAACUAUUAUUUUUUUACCGGUUGACCUCGGAUCAGGUAGGGAUACCCGCUGAACUUAAGCAUAUCAAUAAGCGGAGGAAAAGAAACCAACAGGGAUUGCCCCAGUAACGGCGAGUGAAGCGGCAAAAGCUCAAAUUUGAAAUCUGGCUCCUUUUCGGGGUCCGAGUUGUAAUUUGCAGAGGAUGCUUUGGGUGUGUCCGCGGCGUAAGUCCCUUGGAACAGGGCGUCAUAGAGGGUGAGAAUCCCGUCUUGAGUCGCCGGGCGCGCCCGUUUAAAGCUCCUUCGACGAGUCGAGUUGUUUGGGAAUGCAGCUCUAAGUGGGUGGUAAAUUUCAUCUAAAGCUAAAUAUUGGCCGGAGACCGAUAGCGAACAAGUAGAGUGAUCGAAAGGUUAAAAGCACCUUGAAAAGGGAGUUAAAUAGCACGUGAAAUUGUUGAAAGGGAAGCGCUUGCAGCCAGACUCGAGCGCGGAGGCUCAGCGGGCAUGUUAUGUCCGUGCACUCCUUCGCGCCCGGGCCAGCAUCAGUUUUUGCGGCCGGUCAAAGGCCCCUGGAAUGUGUCGUCCUCCGGGACGUCUUAUAGCCAGGGGUGCAAUGCGGCCAGCGGGGACUGAGGAACGCGCUUCGGCACGGAUGCUGGCGUAAUGGCUGUAAGCGGCCCGUCUUGAAACACGGACCAAGGAGUCUAACAUCCACGCGAGUGUUCGGGUGUCAAACCCGUACGCGCAGUGAAAGCGAACGGAGGUGAGAGCCCGCAAGGGUGCAUCAUCGACCGAUCCUGAAGUCUUCGGAUGGAUUUGAGUAAGAGCGUGGCUGUUGGGACCCGAAAGAUGGUGAACUAUGCCUGAAUAGGGUGAAGCCAGAGGAAACUCUGGUGGAGGCUCGCAGCGGUUCUGACGUGCAAAUCGAUCGUCAAAUUUGGGUAUAGGGGCGAAAGACUAAUCGAACCAUCUGGUAGCUGGUUCCUGC